UUUAAAUGAAGACUAGAACAAAAGAUUUCAUGUUUAAAUUUAUAUCAAUAUUUAAAUAUUCAAACUUAUCUUAAACGUAAAAAGACGUUUAUUUAAAAGAAAGACGACAAGACCCUAUUGAACUUAACUUAAGUUAAACUGGGGCAGUAAAUUAAUUAAUAUUUUAAUAUAACUAAUUUUAAAAAUUAAUCCAAUAUAAUUGAAUUAAUUAAGUUACCAUAGGGAUAACAGCGUAAUAAAUUUUUAAAGAUCAUAUAUAAAAAUAUGUUUACGACCUCGAUGUUGAAUUAAUAACCUAAUUGGAGCAAAGACUAAUAUUAGGAAGUCUGUUCGACUUUUAAAAAAUUACAUGAUUUGAGUUCAGACCGGUAUAAGCCAGGUCGGUUUCUAUCUUCUUAAAAAUUUCUUACAGUACGAAAGGGCCUAAGAAAAUAA
rnacentral:rRNA from 1 species